rnacentral:rRNA from 1 species
AGAGUUUGAUCCUGGCUCAGGACGAACGCUGGCGGUGUGCUUCACACAUGCAAGUCGAACGAGGUAGCAAUACCUAGUGGCGGACGGGUGAGUAACGCGUGGGAAUCUGCCCUUGGGUAGGGGAUAGCAGGCCGAAAGGCCUAUUAAUACCGUAUAUGCCGUGAGGUAAAAGGAGUAAUCCGCCCCUGGAUGAGCCUGCGUCCGAUUAGCUAGUUGGUGGGGUAAAGGCCUACCAAGGCUACGAUCGGUAGCUGGUCUGAGAGGAUGAUCAGCCACAAUGGGACUGAGACACGGCCCAUACUCCUACGGGAGGCAGCAGUGGGGAAUUUUACGCAAUGGGGGAAACCCUGACGUAGCGACACCGCGUGAGCGAAGAAGCCCUUUGGGGUGUAAAGCUCUGUCGGCUGGAACGAAAAAAAUGACGGUACCAGCAAAGGAAGCAUCGGCUAACUACGUGCCAGCAGCCGCGGUAAGACGUAGGAUGCGAGCGUUGUCCGGAUUCAUUGGGCGUAAAGAGUUCGUAGGCGGUUUGUUAAGUUUGAUGUUAAAUAUCGGGGCCUAACCUCGAGAGUGCAUUGAAUACUGGCAGACUGGAGUGCAGUAGAGGCGAGUGGAAUUCCCAGUGUAGCGGUGAAAUGCGU